AUUGAACGCUGGCGGCAGGCCUAACACAUGCAAGUCGAACGAGUGGCGGACGGGUGAGUAAUGUCUGGGAAACUGCCCGACGGAGGGGGAUAACUACUGGAAACGGUAGCUAAUACCGCAUACCAUCGGAUGUGCCCAGAUGGGACUAGCUAGUAGGUGGGGUAACGGCUCACCUAGGCGACGAUCCCUAGCUGGUCUGCGAGGAUGACCAGCCAGACUGAAACUGAGACACGGUCCAGACUCCGACGGGAGGCAGCAGUGGGGAAUAUUGCACAAUGGGCGCAAGCCUGAUGCAGCCAUGCCGCGUGUAUGAAGAAGGCCUUCGGGUUGUAAAGUACUUUCAGCGAGGAGGCGUUACUCGCAGAAGAAGCACCGGCUAACUCCGUGCCAGCCGCCGCGGUAAUAC
rnacentral:rRNA from 1 species